GGCACAACUCAUACCUAUUUUAAAGAUGAAGAAUUGGAGAGUCAUAGAAUCAUAGUCAGGCUUAUAAAUCGCAAACCUAGAAGUUAAAUUCUGUCAUGCCUGGCUAAAGAGUCCAGGCUUCCCCCAAUAGAAAUUUAUAGAUUCAUUAAUGGUUUUAACUUCAAUUGGCUGCAACUGGCCUCCUCAUUAUGAACCUCCUCAGAUAGACCUCUUCAGAGGUGUGUCUAAGCUACUCAGAGAAUGGCACCUGGAAAGAUGUUAUGAAAAGUGUUGAUGUCAUCAGAUUCAAGGGGAGUCUGAGAACCUGUCAUGGCCAGUUGGAGCCUCCAGAGACACCAUAAGCAAUGCCAUAUCCUGGGAGAGAUCCUGGGACAGAGAAAGGACAUGAGGUUAAAAAAAGAACUAAGGG
rnacentral:lncRNA from 1 species